UUCAUAUAGAUCAUAUCUUAGAUCAUGACACUGAAGAUGUUAAGGAGAUUAUUUUAAUCUAUGAAUA
rnacentral:tRNA from 1 species